rnacentral:rRNA from 1 species
GAUUAACGCUAGCGGCAGGCAUAAUACAUGCAAGUUGAACGGCAGCACAGGUAGCAAUACUGGGUGGCGAGUGGCGCACGGGUGCGUAACACGUAUGCAACCUACCCUAUACAGGCGAAUAACCUUUAGAAAUGAGGGCUAAUACGCCGUAGUAUUACAGAUGUGCAUCUAUUUGUAAUUAAAGAUUUAUCGGUAUAGGAUGGGCAUGCGUCCCAUUAGUUAGUUGGUAAGGUAACGGCUUACCAAGACGAUGAUGGGUAGGGGAUCUGAGAGGACUUACCCCCAACCUGGUACUGGGACACGGACCAGACUCGUAGGGGGGGCAGAGGAAAGGAAUAUUGGGCAAGGGGCGCGAGGCUGACCCACCCAGCCCGGGUGGAGGAAGCCGGCCUUUGGGUUUUUAAACUGCUUUUAUACGGGAAUAAUAGAGUGUACGCGUAAAUUUUGGCAGGUUCCGAUUAAAAAAGCACCGGCAAACUCCGG